rnacentral:rRNA from 1 species
GACGAACGCUGGCGGCGUGCUUAACACAUGCAAGUCGAACGGAAAGGCCCUGCUUUUGUGGGUUGCUCGAGUGGCGCACGGGUGAGUAACACGUGAGUAACCUCCCCUUAACUUUGGGAUAACUUCAGGAAACUGGGGCUCAUACCGGAUAUAAUCUCCUGCUCCAUGUUGGGGGUUGGAAAGUUUCGGCGGUUGGGGAUGGACUCGCGGCUUAUCAGCUUGUUGGGGGGGUAGUGGCUUACCAAGGCUUUGACGGGUAGCCGGCCUGAGAGGGUGACCGGGGACAUGGGGACUGAGAUACGGCCCAGAAUCCUACGGGAGGCAGCAGGGGGGAAUAUUGCAGAAUGGGCGGAAGACUGAUGCAGAAACGCCGCGUGCGGGAUGACCGGCUUCGGGUUGUAAACAGAUUUCGACGGUGAAGAAGAGGGAGUGACGGUAAUGGGUAAAGAAGCACCGGCUAACUACGUG